rnacentral:ncRNA from 2 species
AGAAGAGAUAGAGGUUGCGUAUUUUAUUAGUAGUUUUUCGGAUGUGGCAGGCACAGGAGAAGAAAAAUGAAAGGAAAAGACGCCGAAAGAGCAGGACGCGCUGUAGUUUUGUUCUUGGGCAUACAGCGAAUAACUGUAUGACUGUCAUCGAUACGAUGGGGCGCUAUCCGAGGU